rnacentral:snRNA from 1 species
AGAAUGGAUCUAAUAAUGUAAGA